UGAAAACCGCAAAAUCGAGUUUUCCCGCCAAAACCGCAAAAAGUGUUUUCCCGCCAAUACCGUAAAACCCAAUUUUCCCGCCAAAACGAUUUUUCCCGCCGAAACCGAAAAAUCGAGUUUUCCCGCCGAAACCAAAAAACCGAGUUUUCCCGCCAAAAACGAAAAAUCGAGUUUUCUCGCCAAAACCAGAAAACUCAGUUUUCUCAGUUUUCUCGAACAAAAAAAUGAAUUUUUCCGCCAAAACCGUAAAAUAAAUUUUCUCACAGAAACCAAAAACGAGUUUUCCCGCCGAAACCGAAAAAUCGAGUUUUUCUGCCGAAACCACAAAACCGAGUUUUCCCGCCAAAACCAUAAAACUAAUUUUUUUCCGCCAAAACCGCAAAACCGAGUUUUCCCGCCAAAACCGAAAAACUGAGUUUUCCCGCCAAAACCGCAAAACCGAAUUUUCUCGCAAAAACCGUAAAACCGAGUUUUUCCGCCAAAAACUCGCAAAAAGAUUGUUCCCGCCAAAAUCUAACAAAAUUUCCCGUCAAAACCGUAAAAACAAGUUUUUCCGCCAAAACCGCAAAAACGAGUUUUCCCCCCAAAACCAUAAAGAUUAUUUUUCCCGCAAACCGCAAAAAUCGAGUUUUUCAACCAAAACCACACAAAAAUUUUACCGACCAAAAACCGCAAAAAGAAAAUUUUCCGCUAAAACCACAAAAACAACUUAACAAGUUUUCUCGUUAAAACCAUAAAUGAGGUUUCCUGUCAAAACGAUGUUUACUGCUAAAACCGCAAAAUGAGUUUUCUGGUUAAAAUUGCAAAAUAUUUUUUUUUCCGAAAAAGCGAGUUUUUCCGCCAAAAUCGUAAACGAGUUUUUGCGCUAAAACAAGUUUUCUAUAAAAUUGCAAAAUCUUGUUUAUAUAUUAAAGCUCACAUUAAUGAUAUUAAUAUUUUACAUGAUCUUCAGAGUAAAUAAGAAAAUAUUUUGGGUACCCACGGGUAAACCUAUUGGAUUAUUUUUUUGGUUUGGAUUUCAAACUUGAUGUUUUUGAUUUUUGCAAGUUGGGUAUAAACUGGAUUAGAUUAUUUGUGGGGUGGGCUGGUUAUUUUACCCUACGUUAACAUCCCUAGUUUUGCUGCGUAAGCAAUGCAAGUAACCACAUUGUAAAGAAACACUUGAUUGGUCAAAAUCUUGCUCUUUUAAAAAAAAAAAAAAUCUUGGUAUUAUAGUUGUAUACAAGCUAUUUGCUGUCACAGGCCAAAGGCUACAUCAAAUGGUACUGGUUAACUAUCCGAUCAAAUUUAAUCCCCUCCUGGGUUAAAUCUUUUAGAGUUUUCUAGAGUUCCAAGUCAAAGUUAUGUUUGGUUGCUACAGCCGAAGGUAUACCUCUUCUCGAUGCAGUAAAAUCCUCAACUAAAGAAUCCAACGGACUAUUAAUCGCUGGCCCAGAGAACGUUAAGAAAUCCUUUCCCGAUUACAUUUUCUAAGCAGUUCUCAAACCUUCUGGUGAUUUGCUACGCUUUCACAUUGUCGAAACAAUUGGCAAUGGAGCAGACUUCAGGAGGAAAGAGGUGGAGCUGAUGUUGCAAGCAGGCUACAUAACUGUUGGACUGGGGCCACACCGGUUGCAAGCUGAGACCGAAAUCAUUGCUCUUCUAGCCACUCUAGUGAUGUGGUCUGACUCUCAGGAGACAACGGCCUAAAUGGUAGCUAAAGGCUUAAGUGUGUGUUUUCUUGUCUAGUGUUAUGUGAUUUUGGUUGGAUAAGGUAUACAGAUUUUAUUUCAUCAGAAAAGAGAAGACCUGAUAUUGAUAGAGCCA